UCAAACUUGGUCAUUUAGAGGAAGUAAAAGUCGUAACAAGGUCUCCGUAGGUGAACCUGCGGAGGGAUCAUUAAUGAAUGAUCAUCCUUGAUCUUCUUACCCUCAAACCACUGUGGAACACAACAUGUGCUUCGGCGCCCAGUGGCGCCGCUUUUAUGCUUCAACAAUGCCCUUUGUGUCUGACAAAUCAAAAUAUCAAAACUUUCAACAAAGGAUCUCUUGGCUCUCGCAUCGAUGAAGAACGCAGC
rnacentral:misc_RNA from 1 species